CCUACGGGCGGCAGCAGUAGGGAAUCUUCCACAAUGGGCGCAAGCCUGAUGGAGCAACACCGCGUGAGUGAAGACGGGUUUCGGCUCGUAAAGCUCUGUUGUUGGAGAAGCAAGUGCGUGAGAGUAACUGUUCACGCAGUGACGGUAUCCAACCAGAAAGUCACGGCUAACUACGUGCCAGCAGCCGAGGUAAUACGUAGGUGGCAAGCGUUAUCCGGAUUUAUUGGGCGUAAAGCGAGCGCAGGCGGUUGCUUAGGUCUGAUGUGAAAGCCUUCGGCUUAACCGAAGAAGUGCAUCGGAAACCGGGCAACUUGAGUGCAGAUGAGGACAGUGGAACUCCAUGUGUAGCGGUGGAAUGCUUAGAUAUAUGGAAGAACACCAGUGGCGAAGGCAGCUGACUGGUCUGCAACUGACGCUGAGGCUCGAAAGCAUGGGUAGCGAACAGGAUUAGAUACCCUUGUAGUC
rnacentral:rRNA from 1 species